UCGAGCGAGAAAGCUCCUUCGGGAGUGAGUAAAGCGGCGGACGAGUGCGUAACACGUGGGUACCUGCCCUUCAGUGAAGGAUACCCUCGAGAAAUCGAGGUUAAUACUGCAUACGUCCCUUCGGGGAGAAAGGUGGCUUUAUGCUGCCGCUGGAGGAUGGGCUUGCGGGCUAUCAGUUUGUUGGUGAGGUAAUGGCUCACCAAGGCUAUGACGGCUAGCCGACCUGAGAGGGUGACCGGCCACGCUGGGACUGAGACACGGCCCAGACUCCUACGGGAGGCAGCAGUGGGGAAUAUUGCGCAAUGGGCGAAAGCCUGACGCAGCAACGCCGCGUGGGGGAUGAAGGUCUUCGGAUCGUAAACUCCUGUCAGGGGGGAAGAAAAGCCUGUUUUUAAUAGAAGCAGGUUAUGACGGUACCUCCAGAGGAAGCACCGGCUAACUUCGUGCCAGCAGCCGCGGUAAUACGAAGGGUGCAAGCGUUAUUCGGAAUUACUGGGCGUAAAGGGUGCGUAGACGGCAAAUCAAGUCUGUUGUUUAAUCCUCCGGCCUAACUGGAGAGCUGCGAUGGAAACUGAUGUGCUAGAGGAUGAGAGAGAGGAGUGGAAUUCCCGGAGUAGCGGUAAAAUGCGUGGAUCUCGGGAGGAACACCAAUGGCGAAGGCAGCUUCUUGGCUCAUUCCUGACGUUGAGGCACGAAAGCGUGG
rnacentral:rRNA from 1 species